rnacentral:rRNA from 1 species
CCUACGGGAGGCAGCAGUAGGGAAUAUUGCACAAUGGGGGAAACCCUGAUGCAGCGACGCCGCGUGAAGGAAGAAGUUUUUCGGUAUGUAAACUUCUUUCAUUAGGGAAGAUAAUGACGGUAUCUAACUAAUAAGCCCCGGCUAACUCCGUGCCAGCAGCCGCGGUAAUACGUAGGGUGCAAGCGUUACCCGGAUUCACUGGGUGUAAAGGGAGCGUAGGCGGGUUAGCAAGUCAGAUGUGAAAUCCCAGGGCUUAACCACGGGACUGCAUUUGAAACUGUUAAUCUAGAGUAUGGGAGAGGUAAGUGGAAUUCCUGGGGUAGGGGUGAAAUGCGUAGAGAUUAGGAGGAAUACU